UACGAAGGGGGCUAGCGUUGCUCGGAAUCACUGGGCGUAAAGCGCACGUAGGCGGGUCCUUAAGUCGGGGGUGAAAUCCCGGAGCUCAACUCCGGAACUGCCUUCGAUACUGGGGACCUCGAGUCCGGGAGAGGUGAGUGGAACUCCGAGUGUAGAGGUGAAAUUCGUAGAUAUUCGGAAGAACACCAGUGGCGAAGGCGGCUCACUGGCCCGGUACUGACGCUGAGGUGCGAAAGCGUGGGGAGCAAACAGG
rnacentral:rRNA from 1 species